GGGGGACGGAGAAGGCUAGGUGGGCCUGGCGACGGUUGUCCAGGUUCAAGUGCGUAGGCUUAAGAGUUAGGUAAAUCCGGCUCUUUUUAAGGCUGAGACACGACGUCGAGCACCUACGGGUGUGAAGUCAUUGAUGCCAUGCUUCCAGGAAAAGCCUCUAAGCUUCAGAUUGUAAGGAAUCGUACCCCAAACCGACACAGGUGGUCGGGUAGAGAAUACCAAGGCGCUUGA
rnacentral:rRNA from 1 species